AUGGAGCUAUCAAUUGAUUCACUAAAAGAAAAGUUUCUUAACAUGAACAACGACAUCGAAUUGAUCGAACGGAAGCUGAAAGAUGAAAUGUGCAAAAUGUAUGAAGAUGAGAUAAACCCAUUUUUAAUUAUAACAAACUUAGAGAAUGUAAAACAUGAAUUAAUAAAAAUAAAUAAAGGAUUACAUAAUUUAUACGAACGUAAAAAAAAAAGUAUAUACUAUAUGCAUAGACAAAUGCAAAACUAUAAUUUCUUAUUAACUUUGGAACAUAAUUUAAAUAUAGAUACCAAAAAGCAUAAUAAUUAUAAAAACUCAGAAAUUAUUUUAAACAAUUUUUUUUAUGAUAAUAUAAAAAACUUUUUAUUAAAUAUAAAUUAUGAUGAAAUAAAAGAGUUAAUAAAUUUAAAUUACACACAAAAAUAUUUUAUGUAUAAUAAAGAAGCAUCACAUAAUGAACAAUUAAAUAGUAUAAAUAAUGACACAAAGGGUAUAAGACAUUUAUCAGCUGAUUAUAGCGAUAAUAAACCUAAUACAGAAAAUGACGAUUUCGAAGAAAAUAAAAAAAAAAUAAUAAAUAAUGGUACUAAUUUUACAAACGCGAUUAUUCCUGCCAAUAAUAAUAGUAAUAAUCAAAAUAAUGCAAAAGGUAUAAAUACAACAGGUAUAAAUACAACAGGUAUAAAUGCAAAAGGUGUAAAUGCAAAAGGUGUAAAUGUAAAAGGUGUAAAUGCAAAAGGUGUAAAUGUAAAUGAUAAAUCCAGUUUGUUUCGUCCAAUAGAUGAAGCUACUUUUCAAAAAGUUCCAUUAUUAAUUAAAAGGAGAGCCAAAUUAGAAGACAUUAAUUUGAUAUAUAAAGCAUUAUUUGAUAUAGCUAUCAAAAGAGGAAGCUGCCUCCCUGUAGAAAAAUCUGAAUUGACUCAAAUGAAUUUGCAAGUUUUUGGACAAACAGGUUUUUAAUAUAAAAAAAAAUGAGCAUAUGAAACAGUGAACAAAAAAUGUGUGCACAGGUGUAUGAACAUUUUUUUAUUAUAAGAUGUUCAGAAUUUUUAGCUUUAUUCUACUUUACUAAACUCGCGUUUGUUAUACUUUAUUUAUUUGUUAUACUUUUUUUAUUUGUCAUACUUUAUUUAUUUGUUAUACUUUAUUUGUUAUACUUUAUUUGUUAUACUUUAUUUAGUUGUUAUAUUUUAUUUGUUAUACUUUAUUUAUUUGUUAUACUUUAUUUAUUUGUUAUACUUUAUUUAUUUGUCAUACAUUAUUUAUUUGUUAUACUUUAUUUAUU
rnacentral:lncRNA from 1 species